rfam:Psychromonas sp. CNPT3 1098761106776, whole genome shotgun sequence.
ACACCACCAUCAUCAUAUGACGUGAUCUUUCAGGAUCUUGUUCUGGAAGAGUGUGAUUCUUCCAGUGGUUAUACAUCUAUCUAAAAAACCCCGGAAGGCAUCCCUUCCGGGGUUUUUUUUA